rnacentral:lncRNA from 1 species
CCCCGGGUGACGCAUAUCCCGGGUGACGCUACACAGUGACGCACAAUCAGCUCAGCUCUGGAGGACUUUCCUGCCACGAAAACUCCUCCUGACAUGAAAACUCACAAGCUGCUGGCUCUCCCCCCAUCCUAACCAUCAGGAAGCCAGAAAAAUCUCUGAUAAGAGAACGGGUCCCUCUGAUCUCCAGAGACAUCAAUGUGAUCAUCAGAGGCUUGGAUAAUAACAUUCCCCUCAGUCUUCAUGCAAGGAGACUGCAUGUGACAAGGCAUAAAAGGAUCACCAAAACAAACCAAGCAACCAAGAAACACAAUUCGGAAGAGACACACAAGAGAUCGCUAUAUAAUUAUCAGCUAUUAAGAAAAGGUAAUCAAGAAAUAAAUAUGUAAGCUGCUCUGAUUUAUAAGAGA